UGCCAGCAGCCGCGGUAAUACGAAGGUCCCAAGCGUUGUUCGGAAUCACUGGGCGUAAAGGGAGCGUAGGCGGUAAAGUCAGUCAGAUGUGAAAUCUCGGAGCUCAACUCCGAAACUGCAUUUGAUACUGCUUUACUAGAGUAUUGGAGAGGUAAGUGGAAUUCUCGGUGUAGCAGUGAAAUGCGUAGAUAUCGAGAGGAAGACCAAUGGCGAAGGCAACUUACUGGACAAUUACUGACGCUGAGGCUCGAAGGCUAGGGGAGCGAAAGGGAUUAGAUA
rnacentral:rRNA from 1 species